GGCUCCUGGCUAUGGUGAUGUAAGGCUUUCUCUGGAGACAAUACCAGACACCGUAAAUUUGGAAGAACCUUUUGACAUUACAUGUAAAGUAACAAAUUGCAGCAGUGAAAGGACUAUGGAUCUGGUUUUAGAAAUGUGCAAUACAAAUUCCAUCCACUGGUGUGGAGUUUCAGGAAGGCAACUUGGAAAGCUGCACCCAAGCUCAUCCCUCCAUCUUGCACUUACAUUGUUGUCUUCAGUGCAGGGUUUGCAAAGUGUCUCGGGCCUAAGACUUACAGACACAUUUUUGAAGAGAAC